AAUGUGGAGGCUAUAUACAGGGGGUACCGGUACCGAGUCAAUGUGGAGGCUAUAUACUUAGUCAAUGUGGAGGCUAUAUACUUAGUCAAUGUGGAGGCUAUAUACAGGGGGUACCGGUACCGUGUCAAUGUGGAGGCUAUAUGCAGGGGCUACCGGUACCGAGUCAAUGUGGAGGCUAUAUACAGGGGGUACCGGUACAGAGUCAAUGUGGAGGCUAUAUACAGGGGGUACCGGUACAGAGUCAAUGUGGAGGCUAUAUGCAGGGGGUACCGGUACAGAGUCAAUGGGGAGGCUAUAUACAGGGGGUACCGGUACAGAGUCAAUAUGGAGGCUAUAUACAGG
ensembl:lncRNA